UAUUUAAAAAAAUCAAAAUAUAGUGCACUUGAAAUGGGAAUGUCCCACAGGCUUAUGUUGUACAGACAAUAAGUAGUGUCAUUCACAAUUCAAACUCUGAUUCCAGUGAUUCACAUGUUAAUCAGGUUACAUUUAUCAUUCAUUAAUCAAUUGAUCUGAGCUUAUAGUUUGACAUUGUAAGAAUUUAGAAAAAAUAGAUUUAAAAAAAUUAGUCCAAACACUUGAAAAACAAAUUAUUUUCUACAGAGACAGAUGUUCUGAGCACCCUUUAGUGAUCACCUUGGACAUGUUAACAUCUUGAAGCUUUCUCCUCAUUAAUAAAAUAGAGUUUAGAGGAUUAAAAAACCCACAUAAAUAUCUUAGCAUAGUUUCUGGUGUAUAAUGAAGCAUAUUGCACUUAAUGGUAAUAAUUUUUUAAAUGAUUACUGUAUUUCAGACAAUAUCAAUUUUUUUCCUCCUAGGUGGAUCCUGAAGGGUUUGCUUAUCUUAUUUUUAUUUUUUUUUUUUUUUUUUUUUUUAGAACUUACAACUGGAGAAGACAUUUGUUAAAACCACCAAAAUAAUGAUGCGUUUUAUAGAUAGUGGUUGUUAAUGUUACCUCCCCAUUAAAAACAAAACAAAACAAAACACUAAUGGGUAAUAUGUGGAAAUUUAUUACCAUAUAUUGAAUUGAAAUAUCUUGAAUUAAUAUAAGACUGUUACUGGAGAGGUAAAUCAUUCUUGUCCAUUUGAAACCCUUGUAAACUAGAAAUUAAAAAAAUUAAAUAUUUACUGUAAAAGGAAAUCGGACUUAGUGUUUUUUGCUAUGUUUUUAAAAAAUUAUUCUUACUGAGGCUUGUUAUAAGUUUGGCAUCCACAGCAUCUUGGAAAAAUAUUGUUGAACCUGUAAAUCAUUUUGAAAAACAACGCUUACUUGACUUAUAUCUAUAAAAAGGAUGUCAGCAAAUUACACGCAGAAAACACACUAACCUAAAGUAGUUUGAAAAUUGGUUAGGUAGUCUUAUGAAAGGCUUGUCAAAAAUACUGUUGUAACUAUAGCGCUGCUAACAUCAUUAAUUGGGAAACAUUCAUCCGUAUGAGCCCUAUUUUGGAUAUGUGGUAUACUAAAGUGUAUGUGGGGAUAGAGUUGUAUGGAUAGUAUCAUUACUGAACCCAGUAGAAAGAAUGGCCUGUAGUGGGUAUUUUAUUUAUCUCCUUUUCUCAACCUUCAUUUUGAUUUCUUUUCCAUCAUGUGAGUAUUUAUGUUUUUUUUCAGGAGACAAUGCCUGAAAAAUAUGCUAGCAUAAGGCCAUAGAUCUCCCAUUCUUCUCUUUUGUCCCACGACAUCUCUCAUCUUUGAUUUUGAUAGCCUUCUAUUUGGUUUAUUGUGGGUAAUUUGGCUUUUCCAGUCAUGGAGGUCUUUGGAAAUUAAACUUAGUAUACUCGUAUUGCAGAUUAAAGACAGAAGAGCCACUCUUGGCCGAGCUUUCUUUUCUCUUUGCUUUGAGAAAUAUAUAACAAAGCAAGAUUGUUUCUUUUUAGACUGUAGAAUCCAUCAUUCUACUCCCCUACCCCUUCAGUUGCUGUCUUGUUGGUAGCACAUGCCCUGAGGCCCCCAAAUUAAAUAACUCCACUUUAACCAACCAUUGUGCAAUCUUAAAGAUUUUCAACUUCUCAUGUAACAGAGUGGUCUUUCUCACUUGCCUCACUUUUAAGGAGUUCUAGUCUGUUACCUUGUAGCCCCACUCAAGGUAACAACUAACUUUUUCUUUUCUCUUUUCUUUUUUUUUUCUUUUUUUUUUUU
rnacentral:lncRNA from 1 species